GACGAACGCUGGCGGCGUGCCUAACACAUGCAAGUCGAGCGGAGUUAGUUUGUAGCUUGCUACAAACUAACUUAGCGGCGGACGGGUGAGUAACGCGUGGAUAACCUGCCUUUUACAGGGGGAUAACACAGGGAAACUUGUGCUAAUACCGCAUAACAUAUAGAAGUGGCAUCAAUUUUAUAUCAAAGGAGCAAUUCGGUAGAAGAUGGAUCCGCGUCCGAUUAGCUAGUUGGCGGGGUAAGGGCCCACCAAGGCGACGAUCGGUAGCCGAACUGAGAGGUUGAUCGGCCACAUUGGGACUGAGACACGGCCCAGACUCCUACGGGAGGCAGCAGUGGGGAAUAUUGCGCAAUGGGGGAAACCCUGACGCAGCAACGCCGCGUGAAGGAUGAAGGCUUUCGGGUUGUAAACUUCUUUAGUCGGGGACGAAAAAAUGACGGUACCCGAAGAAUAAGCCACGGCUAACUACGUGCCAGCCGCCGCAGUAA
rnacentral:rRNA from 1 species